rfam:Hordeum vulgare subsp. vulgare, WGS project CAJW01000000 data, contig: morex_contig_1560669
AUAGUGCUCCCUCUGUUCGGAAUUAUUUGUUGCAUAAAUGAAUAAAAAAAGAUGUAUAUAAAACUAGAAUACAUCUAGAUACAUCCAUUCUUUUGACAAGUAUUUUCGAGCGGAGGGAGUAUAUA